UCGACCUCAGAUCGGACGCGAUUACCCGCUGAAUUUAAGCAUAUCACUAAGCGGAGGAAAAGAAACUAACAAGGAUUCCCGUAGUAACGGCGAGUGAACGGGGAAUAGCCUAGCGUCGAAUCCCUCGGCU
rnacentral:rRNA from 1 species